GUGAAUCAUCAAAUCUUUGAACGCAAAUUGCACUCUUUGGUAUUCCGGAGAGUAUGCCUGUUUGAGGGUCAGUUUUAAUAAAAAUCGGUGUGGUUGCUGCCUUUUGUGGUGACGCAUCGGAUUUGGGUCGUCUUGUCUUGGGAUAAGUUACCUAAAAUUUUGCAUGUUAUUUUUCGAACGUAUUUAAUUCUUUUUAAGUACGAUUGCGAUAUAG
rnacentral:misc_RNA from 1 species